UCAGUUGUAAUCAUCAUCUUUGUCAUCAUUAUCCUUAGGUUGUCAAAAUAACUCUGUAUACGAGCUCAGCCUUAAAACAAGCCAUUACUUUCACUAAGGCAUGACAGAGUAACUUUUCUCCCCACAGCUUUGCAAUAGGCAUCUUCCACUGUUCAGACAACGGCUUCCUGAACUUUCAUUUAUCUUCUGAAGUUCUGUGGCAGUAAGGCAUUCAGAUGCUUUACUCAAUUGUCUGGGCCAUUUUCAUUUAACUUUCUUAUCUAGGCCUUCCUUUCCCAGCUGUUUUGAGUUUCUCAAAGCUGAGGAAAUAGACCUCAACAAAAUGACUCCAGAUACCAUUUUGCAUAUUAACAGCAAUAAGACAGAAGUAUCAAUGAUCUGCAAAGUUAAUAGAUUUUUUGUGUGUGUGACUCAUAACACAUUUGAGGUCAGCUGACAGCGUUGUUUCAGUUUGGGUCAUAUGAGAGGCAGUUUUCUGGGAAAUUCUGCACAUUAGUGCAGUCAUUCCAAAUUAUCACAAGUAUUUUUCAGAAACCCUGAUUUUGUUCAGUGAACAAAACAAAAUCACUCUGAUCUCCUCAAGUUAUGAAAUAACUCCAAGUUUCAUCUAGCAUUUCUGCUAUUUGCUUCUUACAUUCCGUAAGCGUGAGUUGGUUACACUUGAGGAUCAACUUCCUUUUGUCUAUCUGGCUAAUCAGUCUUUUGUCCCCAUGAUUCCAUUUAUACUGGAUAAUCAAUGACUUCCAUGCUGUCGAAUUCACUGAUCCCUUCUCUGUCCCUAUUCAUACUACAUGGUUCCUCGGCGGCAAUCAAAAUUAUUGGCCAUUCCUUGCUCCUUUGAUGUGUUGUCUUCUCUUGGCUUUCAGGAUACCACAUUCUCCUGGACUUCCACUUUGUACCGGGCUGCUGGUUCCCAGGCUAAAUGUUGGGAUGUAAGGGCCCAUGCUGGGACAUCUUCUGUUCCCCAGCUAUAUUCCCUUGGCUUUUACUUUUUUUUUUUAAAUUGAGGUAUAAUUGACAUAACAUUAUAAGAGCUUCAGGUAUACAAUGUAAUGUCUCAAUAUCUGUAUGGGUUGCAAAAUGCUCACUACAGUAAGUCCCAUUAACAUCUGUCACUUGACUCCCUUGACUUUAGUAGUAUCUGCUGAAGUCCAAAUUUUAACCUUUAGCCCUGACUUCUCCUGGGGCUCUGACUCAUAUAUCUAAUCGCCUCUGUGACUGCUCCACCAGAAUUUCCAGAACAGAACUCUUUGUACUGCCUCCCUGGCCCAGCCCUUCCCCCACUCCCCUGGCUAGUCAAUGUCUCUUAAUAAAUGGCAUCACCAUCCACCCUGUUGCUCCGGCCAAAAUUCUAGAAGUCCUCAUUGGCUCCACUCUUUCCCCAUCUCCUACCCUCAAAGUCCAAUCCUAUGGUCCUAUCUCCAACAUAUAUCUCAACAAUUCCAUCCCUUUCUCCCUCUAUGCCACCAGCUACCAGGAUCUCACAUCUGUACAAGUGUACCAGCUUUUGACUGGUCUCCCACUCCAGUCUUCCCUCUUCUGUUCUACAGAGACCCCAAGAUGAUCUUUGUAAGCCAUAAGUCAGAUCAUGUUUAAAGCUUUUGGGGGCUACUCAUCACACUUGGAUUCGAACCCAAACUCCCUGCCAGGGCCUCCAAGGUCCUGUGUGAUCUGGUCAUCGCCUACCUCCCUACUUCGCUCCUCCUAGGCACCUGACACUUACUCCAGCUCAUGCUGACUUUACUCCUGUUCUCUGACCAAACUAAGCUCAUACCUACCCUAGUGCCUUCAUUUGUGCUCUUCUUCUGCUUGGAACACACUUGUCAUGCAAGCAGCUAGACAGGAAGACAUCACCUCAUGAGAGGAUGAGUGAGAGUCCAGAAAGAAACAAAAGAUCCUCAAGAAAGUCCAGAGCUUCCCCAUUUUUCCCCCGAGGGGACUCAGGACAUGGGUAGAACCCGAAAGGAGGGCCUGGCAGUUACUCUGGGUCUUGCUGUGUUGAGGCUGCAUAUGGGGCAGGGGGAGUUGAAAAUAAUUCUGUUCCCAAUGACUGGGGUGGACAUCAGGGAGACCGGGAGCACUCCUGAGGGAUAUUUGAGAAUUGGGGAGAAAGAGAGGAAAUCGAGAAAAGUUGUAGAGUAAGAGAGACUGGGAGAGAAAAGGGAAGCGAGAUUGUUCAAGUGGUUAGGGAUUAGUCUUUAAAUGGCUGUACCAAGAUUGGUCCAUCUGGGGCCCAGAGCUUACUUAAGGGAGAGACCUAGACUCUGUAGUGCUCUUGAACCAGAACAGGUGGAACUGGGAAACUAAUUGUGGUAAUGAGAGGAAUAAGAGGAAUAAUGGUAAUAAGAAGGAGGGAGAUAAACAGCAAAAGAAAAUACUUUCUCUGUUUCCUAGGGUUCCAGGCUCGACAGCUGGGGCCCAGGAAGUGUAUGCUGGUGAGAAGCAGAGGUGAACUCAUAAGCCCUGUGAAUUAUAGUCUUGGGUGAACCGCACUCUCCCCAGCUGGAAGACUUCUUGCAGUGAAGGAACAAACCGAGAGACUCCCUACCAAGGUGGUCAGCAGGAAGUCAUGGCAGGAGUGAGCAUUCAGACCGCUUUAAUGUGGUAUCCUAGCUGUCUGGCUUUUCUUUGUCCUUUUUCCUCCAGAAGGAUGGUAUGCAGAUAUUUCCCUUCAUUUCCUGAGAGAGUCUGACGGGUACAAGCACAGGUAUCCUAAAACUUGAGGCACUGCAGACCCAAUGAAUGUUUCAAGUUGUUUCACUACAGUAUGGUUACGAGUGGUAUUGCUGGGUGAGGAACGUUCUGCAAAUUUGGCAAACGUAUGCUGUCCUAUGACCACCACCAGCACAGUCAAACAAAACGAACACUUCCACGAACUCCAAAAAUUGCCCCAAGCCGUUUUGUAAAUCAACCAUUCCCUGAUCCCUAGUCCCUGCCAACCAAUAAUCCGGUCUCUGUUCCUAGGUUUUGCCUUUUCCAGAAUGUCAAUUAAAUGUAACUACACAGUGUGAA